AAUUAUUAGAACGACCACUUUCGACUACGAAGGAACGAUGUUAGCAAGACACGAAACCAGUAUUUCAAAUACAGGACGACCAACACUGAAAGAUUUUAUUUAGUCACACAACAAUCAUUCCAAUAGUAAAACUUCCUACCUCUAACUUGUCUGGCAACACCCAAAGAUUUAGGAAAAGAAAGGAAGAGGGAUAAAAAGAAAAAGGAGGAGAAACGUGUAGCAGCCCUCUCCCCUAUUUCCCCCUCUCUGCGGCUGGAGCAGGCCAACUCCCUCUUCCUUUGCAAGUCACCGUCCCAUCCCCACUUUCUGUAGCAGCAGUAAGCCAUACCCAAGUACACCUAACAAGUCAAUCAGCCACCCUAGACUGUACCUCUUCGCAUGUACACAAGCUUCCAGCCAAACCCUUUUUGUUAUUCAAACCCUUCAUUCUUCAUUUGAGGACUUCACGAAUGGAAGGGAGCCUUUAAUUCGUUUCUGCCAAGUAUUCUCAAGGUAAGCUUGGCUUCAAUGCUCUGCAUCCUUCCAUGAUUCCACCUGCAUUAAUGCAAGAACAAUUUUAUUAUUUCAGCUCCACCUGCUGCUUCGUUUAAUUCAACUGCAACCUCCAACCAAAGCAAACUCUCAAGGUAACCAUCAAAUCCUAGUUCACUAUCUCCUUGUACAUGCUUCACACAUCAUCAAACCAUGAUCUUUAAACGCUACUAGUGGAAGAUGAGCAUGAUUAAUUAGUUACAUGGCACUCUGUAGCAUCAUUAGACUUCACAAGCGAGUAGAGAAAGGAACACCUGAACUCAUAGAACAAAUACAACCAUAGCAUACUCAUACACAUAAAGUAUUAAGUUCUAUUUUUCUUACGCAAAAAGGGUCCAUAGGCAUUUAUACCAUAUCGUUGUAUAAGAAUCAAGGCAGAAGUAUAACUUAGCUUUUAGGAAGGCGUCGAAAUCGGCCCAGUUCAGUCGAGCCAAGACGACAACGACGACGGUAGCUCUUGCUGCCUCGGUGAUAUUCCAAAACGCCAAUAGUGGCAUCGCGUAUGGAGCAGCAGGCGUUCGCCGGUCUCUCGAUGGCAGCGGCGCGACAACGGAGAUCCCCUCGGCAUUGAAACUCGGAGAAACACUGGAAAUGGCGGACUCCCCUACUCGCCAUUAACUGAACAACAGCCACGGAGGAGUGCUCGCCGACUGAUAGAAGGACGGCGGACAGUGAGAGGCGGCCACAUUCACUGGCGGUGACCGUUCGCCGGUCACCCAUUUGAAACCACGGCGGCGACGAUUUCAACUUUGGGAGGAGCUAGGGCUCAUCAUGAUUCGCCUUUUUCAGUUAUUGAUUGAAGGAGUGCAGCGCCGAGAGUUAAAGGAGGAGAUGUCGUUCGCCGGAACGACAGAAGCGACGGCAGCAGAUCUUCGACGGCUAGGGCUCGGCUUGGCGAUUCACGAGUGGAGAACUCGAGAAGGAAAUAAAAGAGGAUGUGGUGUCGACAAUAAACGAGCGCCGGCCUCGGCACAGAAACGGACAAGGCGCUCGCCGAAGGAGGAGCGGCACCGACGAGAUUUGGGAAGAGAGGCGACUGAUUU
rnacentral:lncRNA from 1 species